rnacentral:lncRNA from 1 species
AAGGGCAGAUUAUUAAAACAUAUACAAAGUAAAAAUAAAUAUAGAUGGAAGUGCUUACAAAUUAAAAAAUGGCGAAAAACUAUAUAUAUACUUGUUACCCAAAAAUGUAAAACAACUACACAUUUUAAUCAAACCAAUGCUCUAGUUAACAAGUAGGAGAUUCUACAAGUCGUUCUAGGUUACAAAAUAAAGCAGGACACUUGACUUUUUACCUGGAACUUGCCAGUUUCUACCAUAAAUGAACUUAAGUUAUUAGGGAUAAUACGAAAUACAAGCUCUGUCUGCCUUAUCUCCCUUUUUUCCCUUAUGCUCCCUGGUUCAUGGCCUGUACCAAUUUUAAGCUAAAUUCUCUUCACUGUCUAUUUCCAAGUACUUGUCACAUGUCCACGCAGCCGCUCAUCAAACUUUCCACAGCACAGCACAAAACCCUCCCUAAACCUUGCCAGCUAAUAUCGCCAGACGGACUCCAAAAUGGCAUGGCCGCAACCAUGCUUGAGGCGCUGAAGACCCUAGGCAAGAUUUUAGAUGGAUUAUCGACUCCAUAACUAGGACACCACGCAGCUCAAGAGUCCACAGGUAACCGGGUUAGAAAAAAAAAAUCGAAUUUUAACGCUCGCAGACGGGACAGGAAGGUCGCCAAGGACAAGGCGAGCAGCGAAUUCCAACCUCCAACUGAGGCAAAGCUCGAGUCGCUUACCCACGAGAGCAGAGGUCGAUCCGAGUCAAUCCGGAUAGUCGGAGCUUCACUGACGACCCGCGCCGCACCGGUAGAGCAACAGGAAGCCGGUAACAGGCAGUGCAGAAGGAGCGGAGAGGCGAGGUCGACGGCGAUGAACCACCCGCAGCUCGCGGCGGCCACCGAGGUCGACGACAGGAAGCAAGGGGACGGAGGAGUUGGGGAGAUCUAGACGGCGGACGGGCGGCAUCCAAGACUGAGGUGGAAAAGUUGGCUGGACAGCACAGGGGUCUUCUCAGACUGCAAACUCUGCUUCUGCUCGACUCCCUCCGAGUCAGGCUGG